rnacentral:rRNA from 1 species
AUUGAACGCUGGCGGAAUGCUUUACACAUGCAAGUCGAACGGCAGCACGGGUGCUUGCACCUGGUGGCGAGUGGCGAACGGGUGAGUAAUAUAUCGGAACGUAUCCAAUAAUGGGGGAUAACUAGCCGAAAGGUUAGCUAAUACCGCAUACGCCCUGAGGGGGAAAGCUGGGGAUCGUAAGACCUAGCGUUGAUGGAGCGGCCGAUAUCUGAUUAGCUAGUUGGUGGGGUAAGAGCCUACCAAGGCGACGAUCAGUAGCUGGUCUGAGAGGAAGAGAAGCGAGACGGGAACUGAGAAACGGUCCAGACGCCUACGGGAGGCAGCAGUGGGGAAUUUUGGACAAUGGGGGCAACCCUGAUCCAGCCAUUCCGCGUGAGUGAAGAAGGCCUUCGGGUUGUAAAGCUCUUUCGAAAGGGAAGAAAACUCGAUCUCUAAUAUAGGUUGAGGCUGACGGUACCUUGAAGAAUAAGCACCGGCUAACUACGUGCCAGCCGCCGCAGUAA